AACGAAGCUUGACGGAUGAUUUCUUCGGAAUGAAACCUGAUAUGACUUAGUGGCGGACGGGUGAGUAACACGUGAGCAACCUGCCUUUCAGAGGGGGAUAACGGCUGGAAACGGUCGCUAAUACCGCAUGACGUGUUCGGAUGGCAUCAUCUGAACAUCAAAGAUUUAUCGCUGAAAGAUGGGCUCGCGUCUGAUUAGAUAGUUGGUGGGGUAACGGCCUACCAAGUCUACGAUCAGUAGCCGGACUGAGAGGUUGAACGGCCACAUUGGGACUGAGAUACGGCCCAGACUCCUACGGGAGGCAGCAGUGGGGAAUAUUGCACAAUGGGGGAAACCCUGAUGCAGCAACGCCGCGUGAAGGAUGACGGUUUUCGGAUUGUAAACUUCUUUUCUUAGUGACGAAGACAGUGACGGUAGCUAAGGAAUAAGCAUCGGCUAACUACGUGCCAGCAGCCGCGGUAAUACGUAGGAUGCAAGCGUUAUCCGGAUUUACUGGGUGUAAAGGGAGCGCAGGCGGGACUGCAAGUUGGAUGUGAAAUACCGUGGCUUAACCACGGAACUGCAUCCAAAACUGUAGUUCUUGAGUGAAGUAGAGGCAAGCGGAAUUCCGAGUGUAGCGGUGAAAUGCGUAGAUAUUCGGAGGAACACCAGUGGCGAAGGCGGCUUGCUGGGCUUUAACUGACGCUGAGGCUCGAAAGUGUGGGGAGCAAACAGGAUUAGAUACCCUGGUAGUCCACACUGUAAACGAUGAUAGCUAGGUGUGGGGGGUCUGACCCCUUCCGUGCCGGAGUUAACGCAAUAAGCUAUCCACCUGGGGAGUACGACCGCAAGGUUGCAACUCAAAUGAAUUGACGG
rnacentral:rRNA from 1 species